AGAAGAAGAAAAAGGAAAAAGAAAAAGACGCUGACAGGAGACGGAGAGGACUGAAAAAGCUUUCCUCUGAAGGUUUUCAGCAGAUGAAUCGACUUGAAGAUAAAUGAUCAAAAAGUGGGAACAAAAGUCCCUGGCUGCUCUCGGGGCAGAGAUGCCCCUCUAUUGUUGGUUUGGCCCCUCCUCGUCUGUGCCCCACAGGACCCUCAUUUACUGGACCAAACGGCAGAUGAAGAGCUGGACGGUAAACAAACUGGAGCUCAGUCUAAAGACCCACUGGGGACUAAAAUCGCCCGCGGAUUUAAAAAGUUUGCUGCAGCGUCGCUCCUGUUUCCUAACACUGUGGUGACCCUCUGAAGGUGUUGUUCUCCGAUCAGAUUUUUCUCGCCCGUCUGUCUCCUCACAGCUGAGAAAACAUUAAUAUUAUACCGACUGUCGGUGCAGCCUGAGCUCUGCAUCCGCACCGCAGAAAUGUCCAGAAUCAUCAGUUCACGGCUGCACAAACAGACGCGAUCGACACCAAAGCUGAUUUUAUAUCACACUUCCUAACAGCUGUCACGCAAUAUCACCUGGACCUCACAGCGGAGCGGCUUUCACAGACUGCAGAUACAAUCGCAAAACAAUCCUUCAGCUCAAGACAAACAGCUGAGCAGGAACUGCAGACGGCGAAGAAAUCCCCUCAAACUUUAACACCUGCUUUUUGACCUCGGCGGACUCUCAACAGUGAACUGUAAUCCUUUUUUCUUAAACAGUAUCUAGCUGAAAAACUGUGAGAGUCGAUGGCAAAUUUGGAAUCAGAAGUCUUCAGGGUACAAAAUAAAAGGUGAAAAUUUUUAAUUGUUCAUGCAAGUGAGACACUAAACCCUUUUAAUUACAGUAAUUUACUGUAUAUUGCUCGUUCAAACUUGCUUGAGAGAAAAUCAAAGAAAAAAAGCCAAGAAAUUGGUGUUUACUCCAAGUUCUCUUAAAUGACUCGUGCUUGAGAAAGAAACGGUGCAUACAAGUCGUUCUUGCAUAAGAGAGUAAGAGUGAGCGAUAAGCGACUUAAAUUAGGAAUCUGUGUUAAUGUUGCAAUCCAAUCACCAGAAAAAAAUGUUGCUAUUUUAUGUUUUUGCAAACCACAGAUACAUUUGUG